AUUGAACGCUGGCGGCAGGCCUUACACAUGCAAGUCGAACGAGUGGCGAACGGGUGAGUAACGUCUGGGAAACUGCCCGGUGGAGGGGGAUAACUCCUCGAAACAGUAGCUAAUACCGCAUACUAUCGGAUCGGCCCAGUUUGGAGUAGCUGGUAGGAGGGGUAACGGCUCACCUAGGCGACGAUCCCUAGCUGGUCUGAGAGGAUGACCAGCCACACUGGGACUGAGACACGGUCCAGACUCCUACGGGAGGCAGCAGUGGGGAAUAUUGCACAAUGGGCGCAAGCCUGAUGCAGCCACGCCGCGUGGAUGAAGAAGGCCUUCGGGUUGUAAAGUACUUUCAGCGAGGAGGCGUUACUCGCAGAAGAAGCACCGGCUAACUCCGUGCCAGCAGCCGCGGUAAUAC
rnacentral:rRNA from 1 species